rnacentral:rRNA from 1 species
GUUUGAAAGGUGGCUUCGGCUAUCACUUCUGGAUGAUCCCGCGGCGUAUUAGUUAGUUGGUGAGGUAAAGGCCCACCAAGACGAUGAUACGUAGCCGACCUGAGAGGGUAAUCGGCCACAUUGGGACUGAGACACGGCCCAAACUCCUACGGGAGGCAGCAGUAGGGAAUCUUCCACAAUGGACGAAAGUCUGAUGGAGCAAUGCCGCGUGAGUGAAGAAGGGUUUCGGCUCGUAAAACUCUGUUGUUAAAGAAGAACACCUUUGAGAGUAACUGUUCAAGGGUUGACGGUAUUUAACCAGAAAGCCACGGCUAACUACGUGCCAGCAGCCGCGGUAAUACGUAGGUGGCAAGCGUUGUCCGGAUUUAUUGGGCGUAAAGCGAGCGCAGGCGGUUUUUUAAGUCUGAUGUGAAAGCCUUCGGCUUAACCGGAGAAGUGCAUCGGAAACUGGGAGACUUGAGUGCAGAAGAGGACAGUGGAACUCCAUGUGUAGCGGUGGAAUGCGUAGAUAUAUGGAAGAACACCAGUGGCGAAGGCGGCUGUCUAGUCUGUAACUGACGCUGAGGCUCGAAAGCAUGGGUAGCGAACAGGAUUAGAUACCCUGGUAGUCCAUGCCGUAAACGAUGAGUGCUAAGUGUUGGAGGGUUUCCGCCCUUCAGUGCUGCAGCUAACGCAUUAAGCACUCCGCCUGGGGAGUACGACCGCAAGGUUGAAACUCAAAGGAAUUGACGGGGGCCCGCACAAGCGGUGGAGCAUGUGGUUUAAUUCGAAGCUACGGGAAGAACCUUACCAGGUCUUGACAUCUUCUGCCAAUCUUAGAGAUAAGACGUUCCCUUCGGGGACAGAAUGACAGGUGGUGCAUGGUUGUCGUCAGCUCGUGUCGUGAGAUGUUGGGUUAAGUCCCGCAACGAGCGCAACCCUUAUUAUCAGUUGCCAGCAUUCAGUUGGGCACUCUGGUGAGACUGCCGGUGACAAACCGGAGGAAGGUGGGGAUGACGUCAAAUCAUCAUGCCCCUUAUGACCUGGGCUACACACGUGCUACAAUGGACGGUACAACGAGU